rnacentral:rRNA from 1 species
UGCCGCGUGUGUGAAGAAGGCCUUUUGGUUGUAAAGCACUUUAAGCAGUGAAGAAGACUCCAUGGUUAAUACCCAUGGACGAUGACAUUAGCUGCAGAAUAAGCACCGGCUAACUCUGUGCCAGCAGCCGCGGUAAUACAGAGGGUGCAAGCGUUAAUCGGAAUUACUGGGCGUAAAGGGAGCGUAGGUGGCUCUAUAAGUCAGAUGUGAAAUCCCCGGGCUUAACCUGGGAACUGCAUCUGAAACUGUAGAGCUAGAGUAUGUGAGAGGAAGGUAGAAUUCCAGGUGUAGCGGUGAAAUGCGUAGAGAUCUGGAGGAAUACCGAUGGCGAAGGCAGCCUUCUGGCAUAAUACUGACACUGAGGCUCGAAAGCGUGGGUAGCAAACAGGAUUAGAUACCCUGGUAGUCCACGCCGUAAACGAUGUCUACUAGUCGUUGGGUCCCUUGAGGACUUAGUGACGCAGCUAACGCAAUAAGUAG